UUUUUUUUUUCUCUCUUCGCGACGGCUGUCGUUUAUGUAUAUAUACGAAAAUAUACGCAGCAAAGGAGAAAGAAUCGUGCGUGUAUGUUUUUCGAACGAGUCACUCUCUCGUACGUGACUUACUUUCGGGAUCGUAGCGAACUCGGCGACUCGGGGGAUGAGUUGAGGUUAACCCUUUGGUACGCGCGUGUCAGUUGACGAGCGGGACGACGAAAGAUCGUCUGUCUGUCUCGCCGAUCCGUCUGGUCCGUUCAAUAAGCAAACGUAGUGCCGGAUUACGUAAAAUGUUCGCGACGUUCGUGAUCGACGUUCGGGCACCGGUGGGUGAUAGAAAAAAAAAAAAAAAGAAAAAAAGAAAAAGAAAGAAAAGAACGUACGUGUACUCGAUCGUGUACCCGAGAUGCAAACGCAAUUUUUCACAUCGUCGUAUUUACGAAACUGCGAAGCGUCUGCUCGACCGAUAGACAACGCCGGUUGCCUGUCACUUGCGAGUCGCAGGGUGUGAAAACGAGUUUGCCGAGAGGUUCGGACCGCCGUCGGCUAUUAUCGAGUGCCGCGUUUUCACGGAGUGUGCCUCAGGAACGUGACAACACGGUGCCCCCGUUGUUAUCGAUUAUAAUGAUCGUACGUCGAGGGGAAAGAAAAAAGGGAAAGUAGCACGCUCAAUGUUACCCGCCUAGUGCAACGUGUGCAUCCAGGAUCGAUAAAUGCACGCGAUUCUGAUACCUGUGCCACGUACCGUGUGCCGGAAAAGAUAAGUCGUUAAAUAUUUCACAACUCUGAAUAAACGGGAGACGAUAAGCUGGCUCCACUUCAUUCGAUUUGUUCAAACGACUUUACCGAUACAAUAAGCGGUGAAAAAAUCCUCGCAGUGUGCGGUUGAUAUUCAGAAUAUUAUUUAUUCAGAUAACAGGACUUGCAGUUCAAAUAGAACUCGACGGGCAGAAGUUUGCUUGGUCAAAGAAUUUCAUUGAAUGAAGUUUUACGAUUUAUGUUGCUACACUCGCGUUUCGUUGAUCAGCCGAGAAUCGAGUUGUUCCGGAGACAGCGUACGUUUUGGAAAAUCUUUUCUAGAAAAGUGAAAUGAAAAUGAAAUUGAAAUUGCUCGUGUCUUUCUACUAUCAUGCAUGAAGCAAAUGUGACGCACAUUCGUAUAUCAAUUGCAUUUGCAGUUACUCGACAGAGAGACGAAAUUUAUUCUCGAUAUACAGGGUGAUCCGCGUAACCCGAUCACCUUGAGCAACUCCUAAGAUAUGCGUCGCGCGAUAGAAACUUUUUAUACAAAAAGUUGCACACAGGUUUAGAGGGGCGCACGUUAUGUAACGCGUGUAUUAUUUUGUUAUAGGUCGAGGCGUUUCGGAGCAUUUCAAAGUCUCCAUUUUGCCCACAAUGGAAUGAUGUAUGUUUUCGAUCCAUUAAUCGAUGCAGCUCGAUAUUUUGUAUAAAAUACGUACACACGUCGAAAAAUCAUAGGUUUAGAAGAUGUUUGAACGUUAAUUUUAUAAAGUCUACGCGGUAUGGACGUAAGAAUGCUCACACGAAACAAAAGAUGUGUCAUUCCAUUUAAAAAAGUGGAAACGACUUUAAAAUCUUCGAUUUAUUAAAAAAAAAAAGAAUUCAAACCGUACGACUUUUGUGUAGGAAUUGUUUUCAUACAACGUAUACAUGAGAAGUAGAUUCGAGGUGAUCAACUUGUGCUACCCUGUACAAUUAGAUCUCGAUCCAGUUAACGUAAUGUCGACAAAAAAAAAAAAUUAACGAAGAUUUAAAUAAUUUCAGAUAUGCAAAGACCGUGUCGUUUGCAAUAUUGUAUGGAUAGACAGAAAAUUUUACAAUUGCUAUUGAAUGUAAUAGAAACGUAUAUACAAUAUAUACUUUUUAUUAAAACGGUUUUAGUAAAACAUUAAUUCGCGAAGCGGAGCUUCUACAAAAAAAAAAAAAAAAAAAAAAAAAAAAAAAAAGAAAAAGGUAUACGGUCCUGAUACAGCCACGUUUCAAUAGUAGUCACUUCUUACCUCAAUUUACGACCGCACUAUAUCGUUUCCACCUAAUGUAACGCUAAGAUCCUCUCGAAAGAGUCGGUUUCAAGAACAAAGUAAAAUCUCGGCCCAUUCUUACUAUUAUGCCUCGUGAAUCGAACUAGAGUUCAAAUAUCUAGAUUACGAAAAAAUCUGAGAAGAGAUUAGAGAAUGACGAGGCCAGCUGGAACGUGUUCGUUCGACAAUGAAAAUUUUUCGAUUAUGCAACGUGUUGCGUCGAUGCACGUCUAACGAUCCCGGUUUCCUUCGUGAAAAGAUCGCAAACGACGACAACGUUCUUGAGCCGUGUUUCUGCGGUGAAAGAGGUCGUCGCGCUUUGGAGAAAUGUUUUCGUCCGGCACUGUGGCCUUGACACUCUGGGUAUGCGACGUGUGAUACGCAGGCCAGAUAUAGCCGCUAUAUACGAACAGAGUCGAUUUGCAACGUGAGAUAUAAGGUUCGUUUCUGAUAAAAAUUGGCCGUGUUAAUUCGAACAGAGACGUGACUGUCAGGAGACAGUUUUUAAAGACUUCCGGAGACUCUCAGACAUUGAUGUCACGGGUACAAUGUCCGAAAUGUAUGCGAACAGUUGUACCAUCGAUAGUUUUCAAUAUGGUGGCGGUUUUCUUCAGUCAAUGUACGGGUAGACACAAACUAUUUUUGUGCUAGCUGGCAGCGGUGACUUGAUCUUCAGAGCGAAAAUUAGCAGAUACACCUUAUCGAUUUAAGGACCAAACGACAAUCUAAAAUGUUAAAUACUUCGAUAACUGACAUUCACAAUAUUAAAUGUCGGCAAAGUUGAAAUUUCGUACAGUUAUAAAGUUGAUUUCGGCUGACACGAUGAGCAAAUUUUUGGAAUUUCGUUCCCAUUAGAGGAACGUCUGAUUGGGAAAAAAAAGAAAAAAAUUACAAAAUUGAGACGUUAACUCCUUAAUUAGUAUAAGGCGGGCAGUAUGUGCGUCGAGACGUUACUCCAUAGUACGAAGCGUUUAAAAAAAAAAAAAAAAGGGAGAGAGAAGAAGAGAUAAUUAGCAUGGACGCGUGAAUGAGGAUA